CUACGGGGCGCUGCAGUGAGGAAUAUUGGACAAUGGUCGAAAGACUGAUCCAGCCAUGCCGCGUGCAGGAUGACUGCCCUAUGGGUUGUAAACUGCUUUUAUACGGGAAGAAAAACACCUACGUGUAGGUGACUGACGGUACCGUAAGAAUAAGGACCGGCUAACUCCGUGCCAGCAGCCGCGGUAAUACGGAGGGUCCAAGCGUUAUCCGGAAUCAUUGGGUUUAAAGGGUCCGUAGGCGGGCUAUUAAGUCAGAGGUGAAAGUUUGCAGCUCAACUGUAAAAUUGCCUUUGAUACUGAUAGUCUUGAAUUGUAGUGAAGUGGUUAGAAUAUGUGGUGUAGCGGUGAAAUGCAUAGAUAUCACAUAGAAUACCGAUUGCGAAGGCAGAUCACUAACUAUAUAUUGACGCUGAGGGACGAAAGCGUGGGGAGCGAACGGGAUUAGAUACCCUCGUAGUC
rnacentral:rRNA from 1 species